rnacentral:lncRNA from 1 species
CAAAACCACAUUAUAUUAACCCAUGGCCCAAGCAUUUCCCCACCAUGUUCAGAAUAUUUAUGUGAGUUAUCAGACUUAUGUUCAUUCUAAGUUUGUGGUUGCUGUUGGAAUAACAACCUUUAAGUUUGGGGUGGCUGUGCAACAUUAGUACAAAUGAGGGCACUUGAUGAUUGAAAAAAAGAAGAGAAGAAAAAGAAAAUAUGAAUAUUUGAAAAAUCAAA